rnacentral:rRNA from 1 species
GCGUCGAUGAAGAACGCAGCUAGCUGCGAGAAUUAAUGUGAAUUGCAGGACACAUUGAUCAUCGACACUUUGAACGCACUUUGCGGCCCCGGGUUCCUCCCGGGGCUACGUCUGUCUGAGGGUCGCUUG